UAAUGGAGGCAGACUCCGCCUCCUCGUGAGCUGGGCCCCGAGAAAGGAAAGGAGGAGGUGUAAAAGGCGGCGCUAUACUCUCAUCUCCCCCUUCUUCUUCUUCUAUUUCCACUCGCCUCAAUAGAAAUGGCGCGGUUGCUAGGGCUAGCGCUGCAACGCACCUUGCCGCCGUUGCUACGCGAGGUGCGACAGGUAGCCAAUGGUCUCUCUGAACUCUGCUCUCCUCCCUAUCACCGUGAACCGGUGGAGGUGAGAGCAAGGAGUGCUUCAAAGGGAAAUUGAGGCUGCUAUUGUGAGAAGACAGCCGAGCUAAUUAGAAAGGCUACAGUCCACCACUGAACAUUGCAUAGGAACACAGCGCCAAUGAACCUACAGCCAAUCUUGCACCUGGGCGAGAGCGAAGAGAUUUACAGGCUGGCUGGCUAGCUGUCAGAGAGUGGUGGAACAGUCAUCUUAACAAAUGCUGCUAAAGUGCACACAAGACUGUGAACUCCCAGAGAGCCGGUCAGUACCCUUUUUCUUGUUAAAAUAUUUAUCUGAUGCAAGCACUGCUGCACUUGAUUUAGUGUGAAAGCUGGAUGGGGCAUGUUUAAGGGGUAUAGCACAGUAAGAGUUUUGAUUUAACCCAUGGACAUCUGCUGGGUGGCCUAGUGUGCCUUAGUCAUAAUGCUUAGCCCUAAAGUUUUCUUUAUGAAUAGUUUGACUGCAUAUAACGUUACCCUCUAAACCAGUAUUUUUUAGACUCUGAACAUUCAUGCUCCCUUUGGAGGUCCAAUUUCUCUUAUAAGAAAAGUUACAGCCAUAUUACAUUAUUAUAAGUCGACACUUUUACAGAAAAUGUGUGCAUACAAAAUUGAUACCCAGACUGGGCUUCCAGAGUAUCUAAAAGAGCAAAUAAGCAUUCUCCUAUAGCUCACCUUAACUUGCUAUCAGGUUGGGAGCCUAGUCACUGUGCUUGGCAACACUAAGUGCCACAGAGUUCAGGGAUCAUAUUUACUAAAUAUUGUACUUUAUAUGUAUGUAUCUUUGUAUGUACAAAAAAAAAUUAUCAACUAAUUGACUGCAAUAGCAACACUGUAAAUUCUCCCGUUUGUGCAUCAGUUGUGCUGACUCAAACAGGUGUAUGCCCAUAAGUGCCUCUACAGCAGCUUCAUUGUACAGAUAUGGGUCUAUUAUAUAGAAAUACAGAAAUGCAAUUUCCAAGUCCUAUUUCAACAAACCGUUUUUAAAAUGAUUUUCUUAAAGGGGUUUUAGA